GACGAACGCUGGCGGCGUGCUUAACACAUGCAAGUCGAACGGAAAGGCCUGCUUUCCCUUGUGGAUUGCGGGUACUCGAGUGGCGAACGGGUGAGUAACACGCGAGUGAUCUGCCCCCAACUUUGGUAUAAGCCUGGGAAACUGGGUCUAAUUCCCGAUAGGACUGCAGGGUGGUUCCUGUGGUGGAAAACGAUUUUCUAGUGGUUGGGGAUGAGCUCGCGGCCUAUCAGCUUGUUGGUGGGGUAAUGGCCUACCAAGGCGGCGACGGGUAGCCGGCCUGGGAGGGUGGACGGCCACAUUGGGACUGAGAUACGGCCCAGACUCCUACGGGAGGCAGCAGUGGGGAAUAUUGCACAAUGGGCGGAAGCCUGAUGCAGCGACGCCGCGUGGGGGAUGACGGCCUUCGGGUUGUAAACUCCUUUCGACCGCGAGGAAGCCACCUGGUUGGAAGGGUGGUGACGGUAGUGGUAGAAGAAGCACCGGCUAACUACGUG
rnacentral:rRNA from 1 species